GGUCUUGCCAUGAUGCCUAGGCUCUUCUCAAACUUUUAGCCUCAAGUGAUCCACCUGCCUCAACCUCCCAAAGUGCUGGGAUUACAGGCAUAAGUGAUUGCACCCAGCCUCACAGUCUACUUUUAAAUGGAAAAACCAAAAAAAACUCUCCUUUCUUGUCUGUAUUUUUUUCUCUACCAACCCUAUGCUAAGGGCAGUGAACACAGAACAUCACCACUACUGCUCAGAUAGGAGUAGGGGGGAGGGGGCAGAAAGUGUCAGAUAGUCUCACUGAGAUGCACUAACACCUCCACUAUACAAGCUAAAAUUUAGGUCAGGCAUGUGGCUCACUCCUGUAAUCCCAGCACUUUGGGAGGCCAAGGUGUGUGGAUCACUUGAGGUCGGGAGUUUGAGACCAGUCUGGCCAACAUGGCGAAACCCCAUCUCUACU